CUUGGAUAAAUAAGUAUGGAGGUAAUAGGGUUAAGUAGGAUAUACAUAGCUGCCAUUUUUUCUUGCUGCUAUUUUUAUACGAGUAUUGUAAUAACACUCAUAAUACCUGACACAGGACAGUUUUUCAUGUUAGAGUGUUUGCAAAUCCCAUUUGAUUCUGUAAUAAGUCUUCUCAUAAACCUAGACAAGCAGCCGCACAGACGAGCGAU